rnacentral:lncRNA from 1 species
ACUUCAAUGCCAUCCAGAAGAUCGGGGAGCAGGCCCUGCAGAGUUCCACCUCGCAGAUUCUGGGAGAGAUCCUGGUGCAGAUGUCAGAUACCCAGCGGCACCUGAACUCCGACCUGGAGGUGGUGGUGCAGACAUUCCAUGGAGACCUACUGCAGCACAUGGAGAAGAACACCA